rnacentral:ncRNA from 2 species
GGACGCACCUCUGGAGAGACCGUAAAGGCGCCGAAGGGGCAAAUGAACAGUUUUUGGGGAACUGUUCAGAAAUCUCUCAGGCAAAAGGACAGAGAAGGAAUU